rnacentral:rRNA from 1 species
AUUGAACGCUGGCGGCAGGCUUAACACAUGCAAGUCGAGCGGAAACAAUGGUAGCUUGCUACCAGGCGUCGAGCGGCGGACGGGUGAGUAAUACUUAGGAAUCUACCUAGUAGUGGGGGAUAGCACGGGGAAACUCGUAUUAAUACCGCAUACGACCUACGGGAGAAAGGGGGCAGUUUACUGCUCUCGCUAUUAGAUGAGCCUAAGUCGGAUUAGCUAGAUGGUGGGGUAAAGGCCUACCAUGGCGACGAUCUGUAGCUGGUCUGAGAGGAUGAUCAGCCACACCGGGACUGAGACACGGCCCGGACUCCUACGGGAGGCAGCAGUGGGGAAUAUUGGACAAUGGGGGAAACCCUGAUCCAGCCAUGCCGCGUGUGUGAAGAAGGCCUUUUGGUUGUAAAGCACUUUAAGCAGUGAAGAAGACUCUUCGGUUAAUACCCGGAGACGAUGACAUUAGCUGCAGAAUAAGCACCGGCUAACUCUGUGCCAGCAGCCGCGGUAAUACAGAGGGUGCAAGCGUUAAUCGGAAUUACUGGGCGUAAAGCGAGCGUAGGUGGCUUGAUAAGUCAGAUGUGAAAUCCCCGGGCUUAACCUGGGAACUGCAUCUGAAACUGUUAGGCUAGAGUAGGUGAGAGGGAAGUAGAAUUUCAGGUGUAGCGGUGAAAUGCGUAGAGAUCUGAAGGAAUACCGAUGGCGAAGGCAGCUUCCUGGCAUCAUACUGACACUGAGGCUCGAAAGCGUGGGUAGCAAACAGG